ACAGUGCCAUCGAAAAGAAGGAGGAGGCGGUGAGCCGGACUCAGCACUUGGGAAUUUUAGUGUGUAGAGUGUUGAGUAUGGAGUAGGACUGUCGCUGGCAUCUGGUCACACUGUUAAGGGGGUUCUUGUCAAGUAACGUGCCGGGAUUCUUUCAAUUCUCGAAUCUUUAAGACUCAAUAGUGUCUUCGAACAAGUGUAGUGUACCUAACGUUUGAAUUGCCCAAAAAAAUUUGCAACUUUUUUACGACGCAGUUGCAAAAAAAACAAAGCAAGCCAGCCAAGAGCAACUUAAACGACGUAUUUAACAAUACAAAAAAACGAAAAAACCUAAAGCGAGAGAGGCGAAACUAGGGGAACACAACAACAAACGCGACAACAACAAGAAUUAAAAACAAACUCGCUCGCGACUUUUGAGCCUCGCAACUGAAUAAUUAAAAUUAGAAGCGGAAAAGUAAAUACAAAAAAAACAAUAAAUAAAUUUCAAAUAAAGAACCCGAAACGCUUAUACACAUACGUACGUAUAUAAGUAUUUGGAAAGAACAAAAAAUGGCGCACAAAGAAACUGUGAACUUAUACAAUCAAAAAAUUUUUAUUUGAUUGCAUGUCCAUAUAUAUGUAUGUGUACAUGUGAACUUUGUACCAGUGACAAUGAGACGACAGACGCAGAUGAUGAUUAAGGCAGCGAUGAUGAAUGAAACUGUACCCUACGCUGAUGUACGACCGAUGUACUAUCAAUAAAAGGGCCUAGAAGAUACCGAGAUAUAAGAUAAAUCAAAACAAACACACCAUAUAACAGAGUUGUGCGGUGAGAGUGGAUAAGCUCUAUAUACACACUCUUUUGGCGGCGUGCAUUGAACUAAUUUGUCGUUGUUGCUCUUGCUGUUUUUUGUACGCGACUAGUUUUCCUCGUUUCGUUUCUUUUGCCUUUUUAUAAUACCCUCUGUGUAUUUAUUUAAAGCGCAAAUGUUUUAGAUACGACAUAUAGCCAGGGGGAGGGCGGCGAUGGGGUCUACGAGGGGGCGGGGACCAGACCAGAGCUAGCCAGUCAGACCGCUGUCGACAAAUAAAACAACAAAGUAAACUACAGAAACAACUAAAAGGCAAACUUGCCUAUCUGCCUAGCCUUAUAUUGAUGUUGUUGGUGUGUUGUUGUAGCUGCUCUUGUUGUUGCUGAAUUUCAGUGCGUGUGCUCAGCAUUUAACUAAACUGGCACACACGCACACCAACACCAGCGAACGGAAAACGAAAAAAAAUUAAAACACACCAACAGCUACACCAACACUCAACAACAGCCACACAAAGAGGCACACCAACACUAUCACACUGAGUUGUCAGGGCUGGCAGUCUAGUGCUUAUAUAAUCACCGUCUAAUGGGCUUUGUUUCGCCCUUGUGUGCAUGCAAUGCAACUCGAACAGCUGUUUGCCAUAACACAAAACAGCUGUUCCACUGCAAGUCCUAAAAAAGAAGAAAUAAGUAAAGAACAACAAAAAGAGCGACUGCGACGCCGGCUGCGCAGCCAUGUGUCCUUACAGCAGUCAUUGUGAGAGACUUUCUUGCGCACCAAAAAAUAUCAAGUAUACGCAACCGACACCGCAAUCGGAAGAGCGAGCGAGCACCGAGUGGUCUCUCCGCGCGGCGUUGCCAGAUUGUCAUUUACUGUUAUUCAAGUGAAUCCAUGUACAGGCAAACUUCGCAAAGGGGAACCACAGUUGUACCGGUAAAUUAAUUAAAACUAUUUAUUAAGCGUUAAAAUAUCUCUUAAUGGUUAUACUUAAAAUAAAUAUUUCGUUUCGUAUAAAUCACAAACACUAACAGUGCUCCAAAUAAUAUAUAUUCUUUCGAAUUGAGCUUGAUCUAAGUAAACUUGAUAAUUAAUAUUGUAGUGUGAGCACUAAAACGGUGUUGCAUUCUUUUGAAAACGUUUUAUCCCGGUAAGCCUAUAUCCCAGGCAAUUUUUGUAAAAUUAUUGAGUUUAAAAUAUUUAUUUUGUACUACAUUUUUCAAAUUUCGUUCAGAAGGGCAAAUGGUUUUCAAUUACAGAAGUUGAAUGCAACCCAGUUAGCCUAGAUCGAGCGUAUUUGAAUGAAAUUAAUUAAUUCGAUAAUUGAACAUUGUUACGAGUAUUAUUAAUAUUUUUUGUGCGCCUCUGGUAAUUUGAAACCCAUUAGGGUUGCCAAAGCGCCGCGGUAAUUUGGUGAGCAGCAAAACUAGUGCGCAAAAUGAGUUUGCAGCCCCAAUGCGUAUUGUCCGUACUAUAUAGUACGUAAUAAACAGCCAAGACGCAAUAUGCGAAGCUUCAAUACAGAGCCGACAGAUACGGAUACAGAUGGGCACACACUAAAUAGUUUUUCGGAAGGGGUUUUCGGGCUGUCGGGCUCUCGGGCCAUCGGGGGCCGAGGCCUAUCCAGUUCUCAAUGGUUGCUGGUGUUAUUGUUGUACUUGGAGGCGCCUUCUUCGAGCCUCAAGUUCGCAUCGAGGGAAUGAACUGACAAACGAGUCGCCAUGUGUAUCUGUGUUUAUAGUUAUUGUUGUAUGGUAGUUUUUUCAGCUUGUUGUAGUAGUUUCUGUCUUUCUAUUAUAUUUAAAUGCGCAAUUAAGAUUGGCACUGCCCGUGGCAGCGCAACAACAACACUAACCACAAGAAAACAACAGCAACAGAAGCGGUAACAAGAUCAAAGUAUUCACAAAAUUGAACCAGUUUGAGUUUUACGCAUUUAUCAUUCGUCGUCCGAAUCUGAUCAAAAUCGCACAACCUAAAUCCGCGAACAGCAGAUCUUUGGCUGCAGAUAAAAAACACGAGCCAAGAAUUAAAAUAAUUUCGUUUUCUGGGGGUAAAAUUAAGUUAAACACUUAACCACAUGCUCCAUGUUCCAUAUUCGUGAUUGAUCGAUCCGAUUUGACACCAAUAUUUUGCUUAAUUUGUGGGAACCAAAACAUAAUGGCAAGACAUUAAGGGUUUAACUACAAAUUGGUAAGGCAGGAAUGUUUGUCAAGCCUCCAAUUAGCGUGUUGCUUUCUCUUCAAAUGAUAAUGUCACAUUGAGGAAAAUACGUUUAGUCAGAAAAUCACAAUAUAUUUCGAUUUCUGUUAUUUUUUAUCGAAUUUUAUUGAAGAUUUUUAAAAUCCAAUAUUUUGUAUAAAGAUCUCUAAGACAUCAAGUAUACGCCAACAUACUGAGUUAGCCAAGAGCUUUGAAACAAAAUAUUACUUAUACGUCUGGUAAAAAUUAAAUUUCCCAGCUUAAAACUAUAAAACUUCUCUCGAGCUGCAGUAAACUUAAAUGUUCCCAAAAUAUUUAUUUUAAAGACACCCUCUAUCCUAGAUGCUCUAUGACAUUUUAUGGCUUUUAAUUGACCAGACGCUGUCGCACAUGUCCAACGAUAAUGAUCCGUUUAGUUAUUUUCGUAUAGACAGCGAUUUAUUUAUAAAUGCCGCGACGGAUCUCUCCUUCUGCCAGCUAUAUUCUGGUGGCUAUAUCUGCCACAGUGUCUGCCAUAAUUAGGCGCACAGUUGGCGCAAUUAAGGCGCUGGCCAAAGUCUUUUACAAGCGAAAGUCAUCGAGCAGCAUAAAUAAUCGCAAUCCAAAUACGCGGCCAAACAAAUAUUAACAAGAUCUGAGAUCUGAGAGGAAAUCGCGGCACUGCCUGGAAAUCGUUUAGCUUCUUCGUUCUUUUUUUUUUUCUUUUUUUUGUUUGGCUCUGACGUAAAAUGGCCCGAGUCAAUUUCGAUUUCAUUCAGCUCUCGAUGACGUACACAUUGGCCUCUCAACGACCACCGCCCACCGCCCACCGCACACUGCCCCUUUACAUUGCCGCAGCAGACAACCUUGUAAAGUUUUUGUGCGUCAUUUGCCGCUGUUAUUUUUUCAGCAGCGAUUUCCACGGCUCUUUCCCUUCUGGGCAGCAGUUGUUUUGCAAUUUUAUCGCCGCCGCAUCUCCAAUAAUAAUAUCAACUCUGUACUGUAAAAGUCCAGGACCUGCACAAAUUACACAGAUAUAUGUACAUAAGUUCGUAAGACUCCCUGCGUGCGUCAUAGUUUUCUGUAAUUCUCGAUCUCUUUACUGCCUGGCCAUUUCCAUAUCUACUUGCGGAGGAACUAUAUGUACAUAUAUAUUCCUAAUCUGUCGGCGGUCGUUGAUCGCACUCAUCGAGUUUCCCCGAAAGUGACUAAGUGCAUGGCUACUUUCUCGGCUAUUCUGGGCUUAUUUGCAUAUGGACUUGGAGCUGCUCAUGGACUGGUUCAUAGGUCGCCUGUGAGUCAAUCUGCAAAUGUGUAAAUCCGAUUUCCUAUUCUGGGAACUAUCGUUGAUCGUUGCCGUUUUCUAAUCUAUAUAAAUACCAAGGGUCGAUAGAAUUUCAGAGAACUCUAAGUGAAUCAGCGGACUUAGUAAUUAGUUUUUGACGAGUUGCGACGAGUUUUUAAAUACUUUUCGCCAAGCGCCACCAUAUGUCUGUUUUUAGCAAUAAUAUGAUAUUCACAAAGUAAUUACAUGAAUGUAUUAUGUAUGUUGGAGUGAAGCAGACCCUAAAUAGUGCAGACUCGGGACAAUUCAGGCAAAUGCGAGGGAUUCGAGUGGCUGACUGGCUGGGUAUCAGAACCGACCACAUCGCCUUGGGUAGUCGUAUUCAGAUACAUGUGCCCCCCGUCCAUGUGCCAUAUCAAAUCCUAUAUAAUCCGAACAAGAGGCUGGGAAUCAAGCGUUCAUUCAAGCGACUUAUUUAGACACUCGCUCGCAUUUGGACUUGAAUGAGUUAGUUGUGUUGUUUGCUGUUGCUCGGUUUACUUCCGCUGCUACUAUAAUGGGUGUACGCGAGUGUGCACGUGUGUGGGUGUGUGGGUGUCGUGAGCGUAUAUGUGCGGAUCUGAGUGUGGGUGCAUGUGUGUAUUAUGUUUUUGUCGCUGCCUGCGAUUUUCAUUCAUUAAAUGCAAGCGCAGCACACACACACACAUGCGCCGAUUGCGACGGCACGCACACACGAAUACGUAUUCGAUUCAUUCAUAAAUUCAUGCAGCAGCAGCAACAAACGCCGCCCCCUCCUCCCACGCCCACACUGCGGCCUCUGCCACUGGCUCUGCCUGCGUCGGCGUCUCGUAUCAUCGCUCCAACAACAAAAGCGGCAGCACUACGGCAGCAGCAACCUCAAAUGCGCUCUUGCUGCUGCUGCCGAUGCACUGAAAGAAACGGAGUGAAAUAUCCCCUUGCUGGAAAUAAUAGUUUUUGCUGGUUAGUGUGCAUUUUUGACCACAGAACCUUUUUAAGUUAUUGUUUAAUGAAAAAUUUACCACUUGGCAGAAAAAUAAUGUAGCCUACUUACCAGCUUUCAAAGCUAUAGAGAUUUACAAAAUAUUUGUUUAUUCAAGCCCGAUUUCUUUUUGUGUCCCCUUGGUUUAUCUAUGCCAAACAUCGCACCGUGGUUCCCGUUUCCAGUCUCCAUUUCCACAAUUUCCCCAUUUCCCCCUCCACCGCCAGCGGCGGCUUCGUUGCAUUUUAUAGAUUCGUUCUAAAUUUCAAUGAAAUUUCAUUGAGCACGCAGAGCACGGAAGCAACAACACCAUCAACCAUCGCUGAUAACUUCGGAUCGGAUCCCUAUCUCUAUCGUAUGUCGUUGUUUGCUAUGGGGUCAGUCAUUCAAUAGGAUCGACCCGAGCAUAGCUUGUCCCAUCCAAGUUCCCUUAAUGUGCUGAUUUCGUCCAUUCACAAUAUACGAUUGUGUACACAAUUAUGGUAAUAAUAUAAUAAAAACUCUAUUAAACGUACUUCCGGUACGCGAUUAUACCAAUAAACUACAAAAAUAAAUGAGAACUAUAAAUAAAUGGUGUAUACGCUACAGUAUCGAUACAGUGUCAGUCGGAGUCAAGUCAUACUUGGCCAACCCUUGGCAUCUAGUUUGAAAUUGAUACUAUCCCACUAAUAUCCACCCUGUGACUACUAUUAUUUUGCCCACAACUGUGAUUAUGCACUGUGUACGGUUAUGAAUGAAUGAAGUUCACACACACUCGCACACUGGCUCUCACCUACACGUGCAGCUACCCUACCCACACAUACAACUCGUGUUUGCUUCGUCGGUGUGGUUUUGGUCACAUUAUUUCCGGCUGGCGGCUUUUGGCUGGGUUUUUAUUUAUAGCUGGGGCGUCGGAACUUCUUCUUCAUCAGCAGCGUAGUCUUCUGCCUACUUACGGCUCUUCACCGGCUGCUUCUUCUCUGCCUUUCGUCCCAACAUGUUGCACACUUAAAAAAAUCUGACUGUCAUGCACUACAAAUUCCAAAAGCAUUUUAAAGUGAGAACUAUUUUACCGAAGGAAUACAAUUUGUGUACUUCCAAUUCAAAUCUUCGAAGAUUCGAAUUUUUUGUCCAAUUACUUCCAAUUUCCAAGUGACUUUUCUCUCUGUGUGCUUGUAUGUUGGCCACUCAAAAAAUGCAGUUGGCAGCACUUCCCCAUUUGGAAGCACCGGAAGUGAGCGGAAAUGCUCGCACACUCGCAUUAGUCACUUUUGUUUUCACUUCUUGAGACACCCGCCCGCGCCAUGUGUCCCAUAUAUCCCCACAAAUGCACGCAUAUACAUACAUAUAUCCCCACUUUAGCUUCCGUUGAUAAAACCCAGUCCCGCGACCUCCCGUCCCGAUCCCACUGGCUGCUAUUUAUGGCGAAAGUGUUUGGUGGAGUUUGUUAUUGUUGGGCCCCCGAGUUCAAUAGUGCUUUGAACUCUAGCUGCCCCGUCCCCGUCCCCGUCCCGUCUCUCUCGCACCCCUCUUGCCGUCUCUUUCGUUUCAUGUGUGUCUGACUCUUUCUGGCUGGGAAUGCAUCGAAAAUAGAGCGGCAAAUCGUCUGGCUGCCUCUGCUUCUGCUGCUGCUGCUUUUGCUGCUCUUGCUGCUUUGGCUUUGGCUUUAGCUUUAGCUUCAGCUAUAGCCGUGGCGAAAAAGGGCGAAUGAAUGGGUCUCAGAUCAGGAAAGGCGGCGGCGGUGGCGGCGACGACGACGAUGGUGGGAGGGGCACUACUUCCGCCGCGAGGCUUACGCAAAAAGACGUUAAAUUUAUGAAUAUGAAUGAGCCUCCUCCACUCGCAGCGAUCGCCGCUCGUCCCCACGCUGCACUCACAGGGCAUGGAGGCCCCGAAACUGGGCCAAAUGUCAUUAAUACAUCAGAUCCGCACAUGCGAGCGGGAAGCAAAUCAUGCGUUGACAGCGGGGACCACGCAAAUAGUGACGAAGGGGGGAACUCUCGUAGCAUCUAGUAGGCCGGGCAGCAUUGGCCGGGGCGACGCCCACAUUUGGAGCGGAUUCCAAACUCCGACGACGACUGCUACUCCUACUUGGUCACAUCCACAUCCGAUUGCAGCCAGUUUGUUGUUGGUUGGCCGAGGAAUGUGCUAUUAUUAUGCCAACCGAGCGAAGAGAGAUCGCUUGGCCACUCCACGAUUUUCUGCAUCCGCCUCGCGGGAAUGCGAAUGCCACAGAACGGGGUGGGGUGGGGUAUAUGCUGCUUAGGGAGUUUACUAUAUAGUUAUAUAUUUGAAGAUUACUGGAAGACAUUGAAUGGUGCUCGAUACAAAUCACUUAUGUAUAUAACGCCUGGUCAGAACAAAAGUACGGCUCUGGGCCAGUGACACGGACUUGGGAAGAGACAGAGAUGCGGAUGCAACUAUCCAACUAGACUACGGCCACAAAGGCGGGCGCUGGCCAGUGCAUUCAACUGGAAUUUGGGUCGGGUGGCGUGGCAAGAUGCAAGCGGCAAGACGCUCGAAUGCGCUUUCUUCCACAGCCAUAGCCACAUCCACAUCCACUGCCAUUUCCAUAUCCACUCCUGCUCCGGUUCCUGCGCCUCCCCCAAGUUCCCCCUUUCAUUAUCAUCGGGUUCAUUCAGGAGGGAAAUGGGGACUGGUGGGUGGGGCGGCGUCCGUCGGGCGGUUCGUUAGCGGGCCAAUUGUUGUCACUACUGCCUCUGUUUUUCUUUCUUUUUUUUUGCCUUUCAAUUGUGUGACUUUGUGGCGCUGCCCAACACUUGUAUGCUAAUGCAACAGCCUUCGCUUUCCCAGCACAGUGGGACCAGACAAGCUGUCACCGAACAAAGCAUAUGAAAAUAGAGCUAUGUUUUUUGAUAUCCUUUGGGACCUCUGUACAUCUGGCAGAUCGUCGUAGGAAUUCUUUCUGACCGGACAUCAGCUUUUACCCAUGCGAGUACCAAUCCGACCCACUGUGCCUCCCCAUUGCCUCAAUUGCAGUUGCAGUUGAUGGCUCUCGAGUGUGCGUGUGCCCAUUUGCAGCGGCGUCAGCGUCAGCGGCUUAUCUCCUCCAACCUGGCGGCCACUGCACCACUGCACCACCGUGCAAAUGCAACUGCAACUGCGAGUGCAACUGAAGAGCCACUGUUAAUUUUGCCAAGUUUUUUGCUGCCCAGUUUUUGCUGCUGUGCAAGUCUCUCAUGCAUAAAAUUGUACACGACAUAAUUUUUCAUGAAAUGGCUGGGAUCCUCCCGGUGCGGCGUCGUUGUCGACGUCUCUUUCCGACGUCUAACCAAGCCGAGUGGUACCAGUACUACUAUAUAGCCACCGGCUAUAUCCAUAUCCACAUCCACAACCACGUCCACGUCCAUCCCGUUGCCGUUGUUUUGGGCAGGUUCGGUGCACUUUUUGCCGGCUGACCGCGCUCACUCGAGUAGAAAUUAUGUGCAAUUUGUCUAGCCAGGGGUCUGGUAUCUAGUCGCUAGUCGCUAGACUCUAGACUCUACAACAGUCUACAGUUCGAUUCCGAUUCCAUUUCACUCCGCCCCGUACGGUUCCACAUAAAGGAAGUUCGGUGGUAAAGGGUUCGGGUUUUACUAUUGUUUUUGGAUUGAAUUAUUUAUGUAAGUUCAAAAUGCAAUGGUAAACAUAACCACCACUCUGUUACUUGAUACAAUUGAUAUAAGAUGAUGUAUGUAUGUACAUACAUACAUAUGUAUGUAUGUUUCGCUGCCUCUAGUUUCUCCAAGUGCAUUACUGCUUCUUAAUGAUCGGUGGGCUGUAUGCGCAUCACGUGCUUCCUAUUAGAUCGCGGGUAUUAUCAUUAGGUUCGGUGCGGUGUGCUUCGGUUCGGUUCGGUUCGGGCCGACUUUCGACCAGGCCAAAAGCAAUUACACCGAAAGGGGGAAUUCUUUUGCCAUCGAAUCGGAUCGCAUCUACCGUACGAUCGCUGACCAUGCAGUCGGCUGGGAAUGGAAAUGGGUAUGCGAAUGGGAAGGAAAACGGUAAUGCCAGUGCCAGUGCCAGUCGCUCCACGUCAUAGGUGCUCCUCAAGUGGUGGUAUAUCGCGGCCCUGCUGAUAAGUUGUAUUAAUUAUUUUUAUGGUCUUGACGUUGCUCCGUUGAUGUUGUAAAUAGUACACACAGUCGGUCGAAAGUCCAAGAAGCUUUCGAUUGGGAAAUCUUGCUUGGUUUUCCCUUUGUUUUUCAAUUUUCUUCCAGAGGGAGAAGAGGAACAGAACUCAAUUUCCGCCUGAGGCCGACUCUUUUCCACCCGGUAAGUGCCAGGCAUGUGACUCAAUCUUGAGUAUUUUCGUACCCUUGGCGCAUGGUUGUGGUGGGGCUACGGCCAUGGCAUCACAUGUCAUUUAUAGUUUGGCCUUUGUAUGGGCCUACCGUCGUCGGCCUGUUGAUAAGCCGUAGAUUGAGCGCGUGCUUUGUGACUGGGCUGCUUGGGUCUGGUUGCUCCGGGCCUCAUUCCGCUUCUACCGAGGGGUCCACAGGUGUGUGUACACUUUCGAAAUUCCAGAAAUUCUUGCGUCAAGUAGCCGCCCCGAAAAGCUUAUCACUCAGACGAUCGUCCACUGAUUCCUGUGUUACUCCACUGGAGGGCCGCGAAAGCGAGGAAAGCUUGUCAAUGGAUGGCAUUGAUACGGGACAGUUGGCUGGAUUGAUUGGGUUGAUUGUGGGCCAUCGUAAAUACACCUGGCGCCCGGAAUUCAGGGAAUAGCUAAUCAGAAAGGUGCAAAGGCUUAACCAAAUAGAAUUUAAUGAAUUCGUGGUAUUUAUAGAAAGAAGGGGCAUAAAUAGAACAGCUUUAUAUUAUUAGAUAAAAUCUAGUUAAUUUAAAGAUCUUUAAAGAUCUCCACGUAAAUUUUCGAAUUUCGAAAAAAAUCUAGUUACCAGACCACAAAAUCAUAACACAAUUUUCGAGUUGCAUUCCUAUUAAGAUCUAUAUCCAGAUUUAAAUCUAAACAGAAAGUACUUCUAGCUACUGAAAACCACGAUCAAAUCGGGUCUGAUUUAUUUCCGUUUUCGGGAUAUUUCCGAGCCAGUUGGGGAUUGUCCCAUUUGGCAUUUGAUAUGCAUGCAGCCGACCGAUACAACACUCCCCCGCUUUUGGACCCAGUAGAUCCCCCCAGCGAUCUGCGGCCAUAAAUAACCAGUAAAGCCUAUGGAAUUUCCUAUAAAUAAGUUCAUGACGAAUGUAACAAAAAUUCCCCGAGCAACCUUAGCCCCGCGCCCUUCUUUACAAACGUUUGUGUGUGUGUGUGUUGUAAAUGACCUCGUUCACAUAAAGUUCAGAAAUUCCAUUUACAAACUUGUAAUUGAAAAAAUCCAUACACACACGAGCGAGAUUGUCUAGAGACAAAGUCAAACACGUUGGAAUUUUUGUUUUUUUUACCGUUCAAUGACGAAUUUUACAGAGUGUGUGUGUGUGUGUACGUUGUUUACGAAAAACAAAAAACAGAACGCCACCAGCUACAAACACACGAAGAAAAACAAAAUAAAAAUACCGAAACGAAAAUUCCAAAAAGACACUUACGAAAGCCCCACAGCACUUUUUAUUGUUCCGUAGAUUACAACAUAUAGGAAAACGCUAGAAGCGCUGAAGAAUUUUCGGGGGCGAGAAGAAGAGUGCGCUACACUCCGAUAUAUCGGUAUACUGAUGUGACAAAAUGCAAAAGUAGCACAGAUUCAAAUGCAGAUAGGGAUACUCUUCUCGCCGGCUUGGAAGAAGAAGGCGGCUGGAAGAGGAGCGACUGGAAGGGGCGGGCAGUGUCGGUUUGUUUGUGGAAUGCCGUUUUGUAAGUUUCUUAUGCAUGCGCCUUCAAACAUAGUUCGGCAUCGAAACUUUCUAGCACACCGACACACAUACGAACGCGAUCCAGCCGACACACACACACGCACGCAGCCACACACUUAAGCGACUUUCGAAAGGUACAACUUUUAACGAAGUCGCUGCCUCAGCCGCUGCUCAGCCGACGCCACUGCCGCUGCCGCUGCCGCCGCCGCUGCCUCUGUCGACUUCGAAUUCCAACGCCAAGAUGAAAGAUCGGCGCAAAAGAAAAGAAAUAUUCAUUCAGUAAAAUUUCAUAGCUGCAGCCGCAUGGUUGUGCCGCUCUCGCCUGCUCUUGCUUUUCGCGCAACAAACCGAAACGAGAAACACAUAAAUAUCAAAGUGAACACUAGCGUACAUAUAAAAACUUUAAAACUAAACUUAACUUAACUUGACCAACAUGAGCAACAAAUGAACACGGGAAAGCGGUUCCAGCGAAGAGGUUACAAGGAGAGCAGACACAACCGCAUUCCAGAAAGUUUAAAUAACGCUGGAAGAAGGGGGAAAGUGGAAAACUAAACUCGAACUCGAACUCAGUGUGCCAGUGUAUGUGUGUGGAAUGCAGAAGAGGAAGAAGCAGCAGCAGCAGAAUAAGCAACUAAUAGAAAAUAUGUCUUCAAACUGGUUUUUCGGUUUUUAGACUGUCGUCGUCGGCCAAUCGGGUUCCAUUGACAUCCGAACGAAAAAAAUAAUGCCUAACCUUCGAUGGGAACACUCCGUGAGUCAUGCGACUGAGCGUGGGUUUUUGAGACCCGUUUCAUUCUUCCCGACUCGACGAUCCUAACCUUCACUGGGAACAGGAGUUAGCCGCCAGAACGUGAAUGGGAACAGAAUCGGGAACGGGAACAGUCAUAAAAGUUGCAUCACUCAGCACAAAAAGACGAAGAGGCGGGCAGACGGAGACACAAACAAGUCAACCACCAGCAUAGAAUGCGGCUGCCAGACAGGCGAGACGGCAAUAGUAGUGGCGGCAAGAAAAGGCGCGACAAGCAGAAGAACCGUUUUACUGAGAAAAGAAGAGCGUGCACGCGGCGUCAGGGUGCGAGCGGGAUAGCAAAACAGGCAAAGGGAAAAGGGACCGAAAAACACUGAGAGAAAUAAGAGUAAGGUGAACAUGAAAAUUAAGAUCUUAACUGAACUCGUAUAUUCUUUGCAGCAAUACUUUGGUUAAACUACAGUCAAUGAACAUUUUUUUUAACAUCGUAAGAAAAUGUACCAUCUAUGUUUACAAGGUUAAGAGUCGUUUUUCCUUACCCUCAUAAUAUCGUAAUUCGAGCGAUAUUAAACGUAAUAUUUUUUCACAGUGUCAUCGGUCAUUCUCUUCGCUCUGACUUAUCCCGUUUGUUUUGCAGUUCCUCGUCGGCAUUCCGUUGUUUCGUCCGAAAACCAAAUUCAGCAGAAAAAGAGCUCUUCAGCGGGAAUAUCGAUAUGAUAUCGAUGGGAGAACCGAUUUUUCGGGCCCAUUAAUUUGCAUACUCGAAAGACGAAGGAAUUACAGGAAAGGGCAGCGAGCGGUGCGUUUUUAUACCACAUCAUAAAUGUCAAUUAAAAAGAUAUUUGUAUUGUCAAGUUGCGCCCGUCGCACCGCCAUAAAAUGUGUUAUAAAAAAGCUAACGGUUAAUGCUACGGUCUGCUGAAGUUCAUGUGUGGAAGAGUGGAAAAAAAAAUGAGAAAAGAGGGAAAGAAACAAAAACUAUUCGCCGCUCAAUAGAAAGUUUGUGUUAAUAAAAAAUACCUAAAAACUUAAACACACAAAAUAUGUGUGUCGAAAUAUGUAUGGCAGCAACAAAAAAGAGUGAAUGAAAAAAUGUUGACCUAAUUUUCGGGGCCCAGUUGGGGUUGUUGUUUUUGUUUUUGGUCUUGUUUAUUUCAGCAACGUCGACGGCGGCAGAGGCGGCGGCGCAUACUUUCCCACACAGCUUCCAGCUCAUUCCCAUUCCAGAUUCCAGGCCAUUCCCAGCAGCGUGUGAUCAUCGCGGGAGCAGCGCCACCGUUCCCUUCGCACGCUUUCCUCUCCGUCCCGCUGGAACGACGUCUAAAUUAAUGAUUGUUAAAUGGAGAUUGUGUAUUUUAUGUCAGUGUGUGUGUGUAUGUGCUAGGCACUCCACACACCAAUGCAGUUGGAGAAAUACGGGCGCGCCUGCGCAGAAACUAUUUAUAAAGGUAUGUAAUCCCCAAUUUGAUAACUCACAGGCAUUUUACAGUUCACGUCCACCCACCCAAAAAAAAAAAAGCAAAAACUCAGCGCCACUAAUUGUGUGCUAUUUUUAUUAAACAAAAAAAAAAAAAUAAAAAACGAAAAGAAAAGAAGGAAAGAAUGAAAGACUAAAACCUUAAGAUCAUUUUUUUCUCUCGGCGCGUGUGAAAAUAUUUAGGCUAGCCAAGGUAUUUUUAUUCUCGCCUCUUGUGGAUCUUUUGAGUCCCUCGUUAUUCGCUUCUUUGUGGUCUCUCUAGCUUUUUAAAGUGUUAACUGGCAGCAUAUAAUUUCGGUCGACUUGACAUACAUUAUAAUUAUAGUUAUUAAAUGUGAGCCAGGCACGUGCGUGAAAAACGCUCAGAUGCAGAUGUUGAUGUUAUAAAGACCACGAUCGAGUGAGGAAAAACCGAAAACGAACGAAAAGCGUUUGUAACUCCAAUGAUUUGACUACGAAACCGGUUUUCGAUUUGGUUUGACUGUUUUUCAUACAAGUGAGAUCAUUUUGAAAGCUGAUUUUGUCAAUGAAUACCACAUUCCACAUUCCGAUGGUCGAUUUUUGUUGUUUGGUGUGCCUACACAGAUAUAGCGAUAUCGUGUAACAAAGCUUUGAACUUAUGCCGACCGAUCCAAGUCGGAUCGAAAUGGGGAUGGAGAUGGAGAUGGGGCUGGGAAAUCGAAGGUGAGUUGCAGUGCCAUGGCACUUAUAAAAACUUAUUCAUGGAUUUAAAAGGUUGAAAAGAUUUCACUACAAUUAUAUUCAUAAAAAUAUUUGUUAUCUUUCCCUAGUAUUAAUACAAAUUUUUCGAAAAAGAUACCGAUGCUGACCACAUAUUAAAUCUGCCAAAAACUAGACUCUAAUCAUGUAUUCUCUAUACCAUACCUUGUGAUAUUCUCUUUUAAUUCCAUUAAUAACAAAAUAAAAUAUUAAGGAUAAAUGCUAAUUCCAUAGAAAUGGACAGCAUGCUGCUGGAUGGAUUUUGCUCAGUGUAAGAGCCGCGCCUGCGCCGCUGCUGUAGCUACAUUGUCUCUAUUGCUCUUUUCCGACUGUCAUCCCAAGGCGAGUUGGAUGUUGGACGUGGAGAAUGAAAAUCGGAGUCAAUGAGAAGGCCUGCUUGGGUAAACAGCAUUCCAAGCAUACCAGCGGCGACCGAAUCUAAACAACUUGAUGUUGGUAUUUUAUGCUUUGUUUGCCCAUUACAAAAGCCCUUUUGAUUCGUAAACGCGGCGCUGAUAACGCUGCGGAGACGAUAAGCGAUGUAUGUGUGUAGUUAGUUGUGGGUAUAGUGCGAGUGAGUACGUAACCCGGUCGGGGCGACCCACCUGGGCAAUGAACUCCGGCCGUCCGACCGUCCGACGGUUUUUUCAUUCAUGAAACGAUCGACAAAGUGGAGCACGUUGGACUGGACAGAGGUGGAGAGCUAUACGGCCGAAAAGUCGUGAUAAACAUAUUUACCAAUUGAUUAUUUUCCAACACAAACACGCGUUGACUUACAUAAGUGCCAACAUAUAUCGCUUAGUAUGUAUGUAUGUGGCUUCUGGCAUAUAGCACAUUCCAAGGUGCUAAUCAGCAUGCACACACACAUCGAUUUCCACAUAGGUCCACGUACAUGCGAUGGAUUCGGAUUUGGAUUUGGAUUUGGAAUAGGAAUAGGAAUCGGAAUCGGAAUCGGAAUAGGCAUGGGCAAGGGCACUUGGAUUUGGGGUGACUUUCUAAAUGGCCCGUGGCAGCUGCAGCUGUUUCUUCCCCACUUCCCGGUUCCGAUUUCCUAGAAUUCAAUAUAAACUCGUAUGUUAUGCAAACUGGAGCGACGACUCCCUGGAAUGCCUUGUGUAACUAAAUUUAAACGCCUUAUAGGCCCGAGAUGUGCCACUUCACAUGGCGAUUUAGUGGGCAGUUAUUGUGCUGUGCCUCAUUAGGAUGGAAGAUCAAAGCCGAGAGAUAUCCGAAAACAAGUAUUUGUCGGCCCGUUUAUGUCUACUUAAAUGAUGGAGCUUAUCUAUAAAGCUCCACAGUUUUUAGUCUUACAUAAUUUGCAUUUACUUUGUAAUCAUUACUUAAAUGUAUCAUCCCAGAACUAUUGAAUUGUAUUGUAUUACAUGUUGGAUUUUAAGAGAUGUUGAAAAUAAACGUGCAUCCGGUGUGCAAAUUAAUCGCUAA